AGAAAACACCUAAGGUCGGCACCCAUGUGCCAAUUGGAGGUGUUUUCUUCUCUUCCGUCUCGGGAGAUGUUGAAACACGGGCAAUAUGUGUGAAGGGUUCCUUUCCUCUGGGAUCACGUGGCGGGGGUCCUAACCUCCCAGCCCAGGGGGAGGCUGAUUCCCAACUUCCUGCAGGGGCCGCAGACCCAGAGCCCCAGGACAGAGGCCUGCAGGACAGCUCCAGGCCAGCUGCCGCCACCCAGGAGGAGACCCUCUAUGCCGCCGUGCAAGACGCACAGCCCGAGGAGGGGGUGGAGCUGGACCAGCGGCAGGACGCGGAGGAUGGAGACCCCCAAGGAACGACGUAUGCCCAGGCUGCCGCACCUGACGCCCCCCCAGAUGUGACCUACGCCCAGCUGAACCGCUUGACGCUCAGACGGGAGACGAGUGCACCCCAUUCCUCCCAAGCCGGGGAGCCUCCAGCAGAGCCCAGCGUGUAUGCUGCUCUGGCCAUCCGCUAGCCCAGGAAGGACCCACAGCCCACACUCCAGGGAGGGCACCGCGGGGACCCCAGGAGGCGCAGGAGCUGCCCACAGAGGCCGCCUAAUGGCCCCAGCCAGCCUGGACUCCUAACAUAGACCAGUAAGAACUCCUGGGACCCUCUGGGAGUGACCGGAUUCUGCCAUCAAAGAUAGCUAGAGCCCCUACAUUUUGGAAAUAAAGCAACAGACUUCUCGAUAAUCCGUGAGUGAAAUAAGAAAACCAAAAUGGAAAUGGGAGAAUGCUUACGCUGAAUAAUGUAAAUGUUACACAUCAGACCUAUGGCGCAGGAAAAUUAGCAACCAGGAACGAACGUAUUAGAAAAGAAAAAGCCUAAAAAGUCAAUAGCAUAAAUUAUUGUACCAAGAAUUUAGAAAAAAACAGCAAAUUAUUCCAAAUGAAGGUAGAAGGAAGGAAAUUAUAGCGAUAAGAGUAGCUACUAAUGAAGACAAACAAAAAAUAGAGCAUAAUCAAUAAAGCCCAAAACGUUUAUUCAUGAAAACAUGAAACAUAUUCAUAAACCCUAGCCACAAUGCCAAGAAAGACAGAGAGAGAGAGAGAGAGACAGAGACAAAGAGGACAUUAUGAGCACAGCAUCACAUCCUAUAGACUUUAAAUACAUAACAGAAUUAUUGUUUAUUUUUAUUACUUAUUAUUAUAUUAUUAACGAUUUUGUGCUAAUACAUUAGAAAAUGUAGAGGAAAUGGACAAUUCUCAAAAAUGCAAAAUGAUGAAUAGGGAUAAAUAGAAACUCUAAAUGCCGUAUGUAUAAAAUAUGUUGAAUACACAAUUAAAGUUUUUUCCACAAAGUGAA